AUGGUAACUUGUAAGGUCAUCUUCGGGGCGACGGUACUUGUCAGGUCAUCAUGUAGACGUACUUUCGAAGAGGAACUUGUCGCGUCCCAAAAUGAGCAAGGCAGAAACCCUCAUUCAACGUCGCUCGAACUUGAUGAAAACCACGAACGGUUCUUGGCGUAUCCUGGUCUUGGAGAGGCCUAUGGAAAAGAACUUUGCAAAAAACCCCGAAGGCGCUGCUCAUUCGUUCGAAAGGGAAAGAAAACAGCGGCAGCAGCAGGCAUCGCAGGCACCGGGCGCGAUCGCCUGCAGAUGGCCGGAGAUGCAGUAGCAAAAGCAAAACAGCAGCAGCAGCUCCCGAAACUUGACAGCCCGUGGAGGUAG
rnacentral:rRNA from 1 species